rnacentral:rRNA from 1 species
GACGAACGCUGGCGGCGUGCUUAACACAUGCAAGUCGAACGGAAAGGCCCUGCUUUUGUGGGGUGCUCGAGUGGCGAACGGGUGAGUAACACGUGAGUAACCUGCCCUUGACUUUGGGAUAACUUCAGGAAACUGGGGCUAAUACCGGAUAGGAGCUCCUGCUGCAUGGUGGGGGUUGGAAAGUUUCGGCGGUUGGGGAUGGACUCGCGGCUUAUCAGCUUGUUGGUGGGGUAGUGGCUUACCAAGGCUUUGACGGGUAGCCGGCCUGAGAGGGUGACCGGACACAUUGGGACUGAGAUACGGCCCAGACUACUACGGGAGGCAGCAGUGGGGAAUAUUGCACAAUGGGCGGAAGCCUGAUGCAGCAACGCCGCGUGCGGGAUGACGGCCUUCGGGUUGUAAACCGCUUUCGCCUGUGACGAAGCGUGAGUGACGGUAAUGGGUAAAGAAGCACCGGCUAACUACGUG